rnacentral:lncRNA from 1 species
ACUGUCCCAAUGAUAACUUCCUAUCCGAGAACCAUUUCCAGUCACUUGAGUCAUGCGUCAUUUACUUCCUGUCCUCUGUCCUUUUAAAGUGCAGUUUGACAACAUACCAGGCACAAUAGUAACAUCUGGGGGCUGCUUUGCUUCUAACGUAAGUCAAAUAGCCCAGCAUGGAAAAUACCUAGGAAAAAAGUGGGAUAUGCAAAGCAAACCUCAAAAAAAAAAAAAGACAAAAGCUGGUGGGCUGGCCACGGUGUCACGAAUGAAGUCUCCAGUGGCUUCAUCAUAACAACUUCAUUUCUUCCAGCAUGUGUGAGUGCCCAUUCGCUCUGCUGAAGAAAUAGUGAUGGGUGUGAUCAAGGAAUACUGCCCGAGAUGAGUGGUAUUAAGCAACACAGGUGGAGAAAACUGAAGCUCGGAGAAAUAAGUGACUCACAGUUUGUAUAAGUUGAUAUUUGAAAUUUGGGAUUUCUCCUCUUAAAUUACAGAUAUCUCAUUAACACAGGCUCAGAAAUCAUUUUUUCUCCCUG